rnacentral:rRNA from 1 species
GAUCAUGGCUCAGGAUGAACGCUGGCGGCGUGCUUAACACAUGCAAGUCGAGCGAAGCGCUUUUGCGGAUUUCUUCGGAUUGAAGCAACUGUGACUGAGCGGGCGGACGGGGUGAAGGUAACGCGUGGGUAACCUACCUCAUACAGGGGGGAUAACAGUUGGAAACGGCUGCUAAUACCGCAUAAGCGCACAGUACCGCAUGGUACCGUGUGAAAAACUCCGGUGGUAUGAGAUGGACCCGCGU